AUUGAACGCUGGCGGCAGGCCUAACACAUGCAAGUCGGACGGUAGCACAGAGGAGCUUGCUCCUUGGGUGACGAGUGGCGGACGGGUGAGUAAUGUCUGGGGAUCUGCCCGAUAGAGGGGGAUAACCACUGGAAACGGUGGCUAAUACCGCAUAACGUCGCAAGACCAAAGAGGGGGACCUUGGGGCCUCUCACUAUCGGAGGAACCCAGAUGGGUUUAGCUAGUAGGCGGGGUAAUGGCCCAACUAGGCGACGAUCCCUAGCUGGUCUGAGGGGAUGACCAGCCACACUGGAACUGAGACACGGUCCAGACUCCUACGGGAGGCAGCAGUGGGGAAUAUUGCACAAUGGGCGCAAGCCUGAUGCAGCCAUGCCGCGUGUAUGAAGAAGGCCUUCGGGUUGUAAAGUACUUUCAGCGGGGAGGAAGGCGAUGUGGUUAAUAACCGCAUUGAUUGACGUUACCCGCAGAAGAAGCACCGGCUAACUCCGUGCCAGCCGCCGCGGUAACAC
rnacentral:rRNA from 1 species